CUCAAAAAAAGCCACUUGAAGCCACUUAAAAUAAGGCCCAGAUAUUUAGACUAGACGAGCUGUACGAGAGGCGGAAGCAAACUCUCCUUUCUCCAUGGAGCCACCUGCCAGUCACUGAGGAGGACCUGCUAUACGGCAGACACUGUAUGGGAACUGUAUGUGGUUGAACAACGCAAGUCCCCAGUUCCAGUCUGACAGUGCCUACAGCACAAAAGGUCAAGUUCACCCAUUCAGGACGCUGACGAGCCAGACAGAGAGGAGGUCUGUCCACACCGGCCGCCACCGCUGCACAGGGAGGGGACUGCCAACAGACAGCCGUCCCCAGAGCGGGCUGCAGGAGCGCCGGGCCGGCCAAGCCACCAUGCACGCCUCCCACACACAGCCUGCAGCCCCAGGAAAUGGAGACGUGGAAACUAACAUUCCUACCCGAGCUGCUGUGUCCGAGGUCACAGGACUGAGGGUGAGCGAAUCCACAGCAGCACCCAGGGCUCUGGGCAGCCUCAGUCGGAAAGGAGACAUGGUGAUCCCUCCUCCUAUCAGAACAAAAAUGACACCCACACUCCGACUCGUGCAGAGUGGCACUGCUUCUUUCUCCCACCCGUGAAGCUUCAGCUACGUGCCCUAAAACUGUGAUGGAACCAAGAGGAAGAGAGGCACGGGGAAGAAGGAGUGUCAGUCUCCCGUGGUCAUAAGGAAGCUUAAGGCGACAGCCCAGCGAGUGCCCACCAGGAGGGCCAGUGCUCCUGCUUCGGCCCUGAUCACACGCCUCUUCAGAGGGAGCGGGGAGCAAAGCUGAGCGUUUUCAUCUUCCUCCAUUCCAUCUUUCUGCCGUAAUUCCUGCUAUGAGAGAAAACGCAGCCAAAAUCCAGAGACCAGAAUGAAAUGGCCCAUCUCCAGCUCGGUUAUGGAGCAUACAGAUGAAUCAGUCACAACUAUUUCCUGAUGGUCUGCUGUGCGUUCAGGCCUGGGACGAGCACAGACCCAGGACAAUUCAAAAUCUAGAUCCUGGACCAAACCUACAAUUCAGGUUUCUAACUGCCGACUGCUCAUUCAUUCUCUCAUUCAUGUAACAAAUCACAGCUGAGCACCGGCCACAUGCCCUGGGCUAGGUUUUGGAGUUUGGGUCCAUUCUCUGCCGAGUACGCAGGAAGCUUGAACCUGAUUGUGAGCAGUGAUCAUCCCCAUCACUGGUGUCCACAUGGUGCUUUUCCAUUCUCAAAGCAUCUGUCCAAACACAGAUGCAUUCAACCCCCACAACGACCCCAGGGAAGUCAGCAGGGAGUGUUCUCAAGCUUUCCCACUGUACAUUUAGGGAAACCGAGGUACCGAGGGUUCGAGACUUAUCCAUGAUCAUACAGCAGAACGGUGACUCAAACCCUCCUCUUCUGUUUUCUUUUGGGUACAAAUCCCUGUGAGAGACAUGAGGAGUCUGUGUCAGGAAAAGAUCCCAGUAGGCAGGGGUGGCCAGAGUGGACUGGACAGCGGAGGACGUGGAUAUGGGGAAAACAAAAGGCAGGUGGCUCCUGAAAGGACACGGAGCAGAGCUCCUCUAGCUCAGUGUGAGGCAUCCACAGGGCUGGGCACAGUUCUUGACGUGAACGGAGAAUCUAAACCAAAGCGAGAGCCUUGUAUGUUGCUGAGGAGGAGGAGGAGGGUGCAAAAGCGAUCAGCUCUGAGUCAGACAAACCCUGGUUGUGCUUCUGUCUGUGCCGUUAUAAACUGUGUGCCCUAACUGAGCCUUGACUUUCUCAUCUGUAAAGUGGGACUAAUGGGGUCCAUUCCAUCUCUACAGAAUUCAGUGGGAUUAAGGGUCAGACACAGUGGCGUGAAGCGAG
ensembl:lncRNA